GACGAACGCUGGCGGCGCGCCUAACACAUGCAAGUCGAACGGAGCUGAGAGAAGCUUGCUUUUCUUAGCUUAGUGGCGAACGGGUGAGUAACGCGUGAGUAACCUGCCCUGGAGUGGGGGACAACAGUUGGAAACGACUGCUAAUACCGCAUAAGCCCACGAUCCGGCAUCGGAUUGAGGGAAAAGGAUUUAUUCGCUUCAGGAUGGACUCGCGUCCAAUUAGCUAGUUGGUGAGGUAACGGCCCACCAAGGCGACGAUUGUUAGCCGGACUGAGAGGUUGAACGGCCACAUUGGGACUGAGACACGGCCCAGACUCCUACGGGAGGCAGCAGUGGGGGAUAUUGCACAAUGGGGGAAACCCUGAUGCAGCGACGACGCGUGGAGGAAGAAGGUUUUCGGAUUGUAAACUCCUGUCGUUAGGGACGAUAAUGACGGUACCUAACAAGAAAGCACCGGCUAACUACGUG
rnacentral:rRNA from 1 species